ACAGCCAUAACUUAGUCGGUUAGAGCGUGAGUCUAAUAAGGCCAAGAUGGCAGGUUCGACCCCUGCUGGCGGGG
rnacentral:tRNA from 1 species